rnacentral:rRNA from 1 species
UACGUAGGCAGCAAGCGUUGUUCGGAGUUACUGGGCGUAAAGGGUGCGUAGGCGGCUCUUUAAGUUUGGUGUGAAAUCUCCCGGCUCAACUGGGAGGGUGCGCCGAAUACUGAGAGGCUAGAGUGUGGGAGAGGAAAGUGGAAUUCCUGGUGUAGCGGUGAAAUGCGUAGAUAUCAGGAGGAACACCGGUGGUGUAAACGGCUUUCUGGACCAUAACUGACGCUGAGGCACGAAAGCGUGGGUAGCAAACAGG